UUUUUAAAUUAUACGUAGAUCAUUUCAAUAUUUCUCCUCAUUAUCACAUGGUACUUUUAUAUAGUAUAAAGUUGAAAUCACAAAAUCCUGUUUUGAAUGUGCUUGGUUCUGCAAUUUUGUGGUUCACAAUUAUCUGAUUUCUGAAAAUUCAGCUAUGAAUCUGUAUGGGGGAAUAUUCCAUUUAUGAAUGCAAUAGUCUUGCUCUCUUGCUAAAUGCUUCCCAUUUUGCUCCCCUUUUUCAGUCAAAGCUGCCAGGGAAGGGUCUUGCUUCUUAGAAACAUGAUUCACGGAGCCAUGCAUCUAUUAAGGAAAAAAUUUGUGAGACAGGUAGGUCUAAAAGCGACAGCUACUUAUCUAGUGGGUCACACCAUUGUACUAGUCCAAUUGUGUUUGAUGAAAUUCCAUUAAGCGACAAGCAUGUCACAUGUUUGAUAAAAUUCCUGAAACAAAUGUGUGUAAUUUUUUAGGAUAUUCCUCAUACUAUGUGAGGCUCAUCAUAUAAACGGUUUGAAUCACUGAAAGAUGACUUCAUAUACAAAGGUUAUCCAACCUGUUUGCAAGAUAGACAUGGAGAUGGCUGGCUUGGAAACUUUCAAGAUUGGAAUUUUUAACCUUUUAAUCAAUGGCCCAUGGAAUUUUUAACCUUUUAAUCAAUUGCCCAUAAAAGAAUGUUAAGGAGACAGUUUAUAUUCAAAAGAAAAAGAGUAAUAUGAUCAAUGUGUUAAAAUAUUUCAAUCUCAGAGUUCUAGUACUGGCUAACCGGCAUCCUCGGUAUCACCUGUCAUGUGGUCUAGGUGUAUCCUAUUACAAGACGUGGGAUGUAUUCUAGCGAAACCUCUUCCAUAUUUCAUUCCAUCAAUUCCUGCUACCAUUCUAAGACUGUACCUCGGUCUCUGAGACUAAUUGAGGAGGAAAGAAGUGUGAGUGUUCCACAUUAAAUGGAAUUUCAGCACACAUGUUUUUCAAGGAGUAUAUGGUUGUUCUUUAGCAUUGCAAACUGUUGCAAAACAAUAUUCAUUGACUGGGCUUGAAUUAUUGUGGAGGCAGGAUUGCUAGUAAAUUGUUGUGGACCUGAUUUUUUAUGGUUGUGGAGGUAACGAAAGUGACCCAUGAUUUGGGCAAGCUUUUUGUCUCCUCCAAACUUGAUUUUCUAAUAGCUGAUCAUAUGAUCAAGCUACUAUUAGCAGUGGACUAAUGAUUUUCAUUCUUAUUCUUUGUUUCCCUUCCCCCUUCUUUUUCUUUCAUAUUCAUCAUUGCUUUUAGGGCAGUAAAGAAAGGAUCCGUGCAGCCACCACGUCAGAUAUUCACUGCCAAAUUGGAAAACAAAUGAAAUUGGUCAGUAUUUGUUGCAUAUUUUUCUAGGAUUCCAAAGUCCAUAGUCAGCUUAAGAUAAAUGCUAUUAUGCUAUUGUGCAAAUGCUAUUGGUGAUAUAAAUACUGUUUUUGUCAGUCUUUGGAUUUAUAAUUGUGGUUUGAAAGAUGAAGAUGGAUUCUUAAUGGAUAAGCUCACCAUGCUAGUGAAGGGCGAGGUUCUUGACUGUCACGUUUGUGAUGAUCCGAAUUCUAUUGUUUUUCUUUUAUAAUAUAGUUUACUGAUGAAGGUAAUUUUCGCUUCUCACUUAGACUAACAUUGUGCUUUUUGGUGAUUCUUCUACUGUUGAUGCAGACUUUUCUCAUGUGCUUCAAAUUGUAUAAGGUGUUGCUACAGUUUUUCACUAAGUUUUUAUAUGGGUGAUUAGAUAGGCUAAUUAGAACACUGAAGUCGUCAACUCUGAGCAGGCAAGCACCGUUCCAUAUGUAUUAUAUAUUUUGUUCACUAAAAUACAUAACUAGAUCAAACACAUCCUAUUGUACAAGUAGAACAUACUUCUGAUGAGUAUGAUUCAAAACCUGAAAUCUCACAUCUGAGUAUUGUUUGUGCAGGCUGUUUGUGCGUGAAGUGUAUGAUGGACAGUUGUUUAUAAGUUGAAAAAAGGCUUUUGUCUAUUCUUUCACCGUGAUGCCAUAGACAAGGUGCUUGAGUAGCAUCGUGGGCUGGAUAGCUUCUGUAGCGAUACCACUGCUUUGACCAUGGACAAACAGGUAAUGGAUUGUGCUUUUGUGGGCAAUAUAAUAAAUUAUCCUUGCCAAAUUGUUUAUUGUCCAUCUCUCUCUUGGUUGUUGAAUGUUUGUUUUCAUGUUCUGUUUAUCUGUACUUGUACAGUCCAAACAUGUUUUAGUUCCUCCUGUGAAUCAAGCAAGAUUUAUCUGUAAUCCUUCAUUUCCUCCCAUGUUAUAGCUGGAGCAACAGAUUUUGGCAGCUGGUGGUUCAAUCCUGGUGAUGGAAUAGAAGCUUGCAAUGCUUGUAAUUUCCAUCAGACUAAGAAAACUCAUUGCAUGCAAAAGAAGAGAGAAAUGUAGGUGGUAGUGUUUGGCAAUGUAAAGAAGGCUAUGAGCUUUUUAGAGUUUCGGUUUCCAAAUGGGACCAAGUAAUUUCUAAAUGCCUAGUUUCAUCCAUCAUACCCUACCAGAAUAUGGAAAUUUUCUGCAUUCUUAUUUGGGAUACAUCCAAAUGGGUAGUCAUUCAACACCUUCUUGGGGAUUUGAGAAAUGUUUGGCCAUCUUUGUAGGGACUAAUUUUCUUCCGUCUAUUGGAAACUUGGGGACCUUUUCUUCAUUCACAGGAGUAUUUUGGACAAUCCCAAAUUUACCUAGGAUUCAGAAAGUUUUUCUAAUGAUUGAUAUUCGAUAUACUCUGGGUAACCAUGACAGGAAGUGAGAGAUUGUAGCUAAUGAAUGAUUUAUUUUUUUGAAAGGUCAUUCAUCAAUGAAAGUUGUAAAAAAAGAAAAAGAAAAAAGGAAACAGAUUUGAUAAUCCGCAAAAGAGGUUUUCUGAUGCAAAAACAAAUUCAUCUGCCAUUAUGUUGAAUUAGCUCCUACUUGAUGCUGUUGAAUAGCAUUGAAACUAAGUUAGGCUGGGUCAGGCUGAGUCCAGACCCCUUUGGACAGGGUAUAGGCUGAUUUUUGUCCUUCAAAAUUGUCCCUGUUUUUGGGUCAGCCUGAUUUUUGUCCUCCAAAAGGAAAAUGAGGGGGCCACACAUGAUGGACAGUGGAACCUUGCACAGAUCAUGAUGGGCUCCACACAUAUUGUAGAAUAAGCUUAUUCUACAAAUGUCACAGAGGAAUCUGCCUAGUUGUAGAAUAAGCUUAUUCUGCUAAUGUUGCAGAGAAACAUUAUCAUCAUGAAAAUAUCUGUCAAAAUUUCUUUUGUAGGAUGCUUCUAUUGAUCAGUCAGAGGUCUUCAACAGGGUUGUUUCUUCUGUUUGCAUUUUGCUAACCAAAGAUGAGCUUGUAAUCACCAUGCAUGGAUGCACUGCUGCUAUAUGUGAUAAAGUGAAGCAGUCAGCAGAAGGUGCAACUCAGGCUGUCAUUGAGUUCAUUAGAAGAAGAGGCAAUGAGUUGAGUGAAACUGAUGUUUCAAGGACGACCCAAUCUUUGCUUUCUGCUACAAUGUUUGUAACCGAGAAACAUCUACAUCAUGAAGUUCUUGGUGCUGUAUCUUUGGUUGAUCUUUUGCCUGUUCGUACUGUGGUCUAGAUGCAUCUUGGUCAUUGCUGUUGAAAAGUCUGCUUAUGGGUUUUGGAUAUAUGAUAUUACAUUCCAUUUAUUUCAUUCAUUUAUUGUUUCAUUGAAUUAUUCAAAGAUAUAUGUUUAUUGUUUGGGAGGGGUUAUUCACGUGGUUCCAUUAGAUGUUAAAAUCAUCCAAGCAUUGUCCAAACUAAUUGCUAUAUUCAUGUUAAAAUCAUCCUUGCAAGUUGUUGGCUUCGACUCGGGUUCUCUUCUAGGAAUAUGAGUUAUGCCAGGCAAUUGUUCCAAAUAAGCUUCACUGACUCCUUUGCCUAUGGACUUUUGGCAGUGGACACAAUUUCAUGCCCAUGUAUAAAUUUGUUGGAAU